rnacentral:rRNA from 1 species
CGGAGGGUGCGAGCGUUGUCCGGAAUCACUGGGCGUAAAGGGCGCGUAGGUGGCUCGGUAAGUAGGGGGUGAAAUCUUGCGGCUCAACCGCAAGGCUGCCUUCUAAACUGCCAGGCUUGAGCACAGUAGAGGCAGGUGGAAUUCCCGGUGUAGCGGUGGAAUGCGUAGAGAUCGGGAAGAACAUCGGUGGCGAAGGCGGCCUGCUGGGCUGUUGCUGACACUGAGGCGCGACAGCGUGGGGAGCAAACAGGAUUAGAUACCCUGGUAGUCCACGCCGUAAACGAUGGGCACUAGGCGUCGGGGGGAGCGACCCUCCCGGUGCCGUCGCUAACGCAGUAAGUGCCCCGCCUGGGGAGUACGGCCGCAAGGCUG